rnacentral:rRNA from 1 species
GAUGAACGCUGGCGGCGUGCCUAAUACAUGCAAGUCGAGCGAACAGACGAGGAGCUUACUCCUCUGACGUUAGCGGCGGACGGGUGAGUAACACGUGGAUAACCUACCUAUAAGACUGGGAUAACUUCGGGAAACCGGAGCUAAUACCGGAUAACAUGUUGAACCGCAUGGUUCAACAGUGAAAGACGGUCUUGCUGUCACUUAUAGAUGGAUCCGCGUCGCAUUAGCUAGUUGGUAAGGUAUCGGCUUACCAAGGCAACGAUGCGUAGCCGACCUGAGAGGGUGAUCGGCCACACUGGAACUGAGACACGGUCCAGACUCCUACGGGAGGCAGCAGUAGGGAAUCUUCCGCAAUGGGCGAAAGCCUGACGGAGCAACGCCGCGUGAGUGAAGAAGGUCUUCGGAUCGUAAAACUCUGUUAUUAGGGAAGAACAAAUGUGUAAGUAACUAUGCACGUCUUGACGGUACCUAAUCAGAAAGCCACGGCUAACUACGUG